rnacentral:rRNA from 1 species
AGAGUUUGAUCAUGGCUCAGGAUGAACGCUGGCGGUAUGCUUAACACAUGCAAGUCGAACGGAUGUCUUCGGACAUUAGUGGCGGACGGGUGAGUAACGCGUGAGAAUCUGCCUACAGAAUGGGGAUAACGUCGGGAAACUGACGCUAAUACCGAAUGAGCCGAGAGGUAAAAGAUUUAUCGUCUGUAGAUGAGCUCGCGUCUGAUUAGCUAGUUGGGGAGGUAAUGGCUCACCAAGGCGACGAUCAGUAACUGGUCUGAGAGGAUGACCAGUCACACUGGGACUGAGACACGGCCCAGACUCCUACGGGAGGCAGCAGUGGGGAAUUUUCCGCAAUGGGCGCAAGCCUGACGGAGCAAUACCGCGUGCGGGAGGAAGCUUUUUGGAGUGUAAACCGCUUUUCUCAGGGAAGAUGAUGACGGUACCUGAGGAAUCAGCAUCGGCUAACUUCGUGCCAGCAGCCGCGGUAAUACGAGGGAUGCAAGCGUUAUCCGGAAUUAUUGGGCGUAAAGCGUUCGUAGGUGGCUAAGUU